rnacentral:tRNA from 1 species
AUUCUAUAAGUUAUAAUAACAUUAAAUUGCAAAUUUAAAAACAUAAUUAUGAAAUCA